rnacentral:rRNA from 1 species
UACGUAGGGUGCGAGCGUUAAUCGGAAUUACUGGGCGUAAAGCGUGCGCAGGCGGCUUUGCAAGACAGAUGUGAAAUCCCCGGGCUCAACCUGGGAACUGCAUUUGUGACUGCAAGGCUAGAGUACGGCAGAGGGGGAUGGAAUUCCGCGUGUAGCAGUGAAAUGCGUAGAUAUGCAGAGGAACACCGAUGGCGAAGGCAAUCCCCUGGACCUGUACUGACGCUCAUGCACGAAAGCGUGGGGAGCAAACAGG